rnacentral:rRNA from 1 species
UACGUAGGGUGCGAGCGUUGCUCGGAAUUACUGGGCGUAAAGGGUGCGCAGGCGGUUCUGCAAGUCAGGCGUGAAAGCCCCGGGCUUAACCUGGGAAUGGCGCUUGAAACUACAGGACUGGAGUAUGGCAGAGGGAGGUGGAAUUCCACGUGUAGCGGUGAAAUGCGUAGAGAUGUGGAGGAACACCGAUGGCGAAGGCAGCCUCCUGGGCCAAUACUGACGCUCAGGCACGAAAGCGUGGGGAGCAAACAGG